rnacentral:rRNA from 1 species
UACAGAGGUCUCAAGCGUUGUUCGGAUUCAUUGGGCGUAAAGGGUGCGUAGGCGGCGCGGCAAGUCGGGUGUGAAAUCUCGGGGCUUAACUGCGAAACUGCAUUCGAUACUGCCGUGCUUGAGGACUGGAGAGGAGACUGGAAUUUACGGUGUAGCGGUGAAAUGCGUAGAUAUCUGGAGGAACACCGGUGGCGAAGGCGACAUCCUGGGCCGGUAUUGGCGCUGAGUGAACGAAAGCCGGGGGAGCAAACGGG